UCCCUCACCAAUCAAAGAACCCACUCCUUACACCUCUCCCCCAAUCAAAGACUGUUGUUUCACUCUCUCUCUCUUCUCUUCCUCUCUCACCCAAACUCUCCCUUUCCUUGCAACCCUCUAGAAUGAUGUCACAACUUCACAAAUCAAGCUCUAAAUCACCUUUACGUGUUCCUCUCAUCAUCACGAAUCCAGCCAUACCAACCGAUCAUGAAAUGGACAAGUUUUGACCCGUCAACUUGGAAGGUCCGACUCGGUGAGUUUUCCUCCAACGAGUUACAAGGUUUUAGGACAUGGGGAAGCUUCUACACAACUCCCUAGGGUCCCUAGAAUAAGUUUGGAGUUGAUUUGACAUCGAAGCAAGCGAGUUCGAGGAGUCGAGUUUUAGGCCAAGACUUUCGAGGGAUUUUCAGGCCAUUUCCGGUCUAUUUUUGGACUUCCAAAAGAAACCGACAAAGUCUUCUAGUUCCUGGCAAAAGCGGACAAUGGCGACCGACGAACGUCCAUGGAGAAGACGACGAAUAUUCCGUCAAAGUUGACGGAAUAUUCUAACAAUGUCAGUUAACGCCGUUAAACUCUGUUAAUUGUUUAGCGGAAUAUUCCGUCAAGACGGAAUAUUCCUGACGUCUGUUAGUCACUGACCUACACGUAGGGGCACGUGAGGGAGCCUCCGACCACCGGCAUGUGAGUGGUUGACAUGUGCAUGUCGGUGUCCUCGUGUAGAUCAUUUUCAUAUAUUCAAACCUUCCGUUUGAGCAAAGUAUGGGAGAUUUACCUAGCUUUUUUGAAUAUGUCCUAUUUAAUUUAUUAGUUUAGUUAUUUCACAUAUAUAGUGAAAAUUAUCUCGA